rnacentral:rRNA from 1 species
UCGGGAAUCUUGCACAAUGGGCGAAAGCCUGAUGCAGCAACGCCGUGUGAGCGACGAAGGCCCUAGGGUCGUAAAGCUCUGUUGUUAGGGACGAAGGGCGAAGGGUUAAUAGCCCUUAGCCUGACGGUACCUUUCGAGGAAGCCCCGGCUAACUACGUGCCAGCAGCCGCGGUAAUACGUAGGGGGCGAGCGUUGUCCGGAAUUAUUGGGCGUAAAGGGCGCGUAGGCGGCCCGGUAAGUCUGCUGUGAAACCCUGGGGCUCAACCCCAGGCGUGCAGUGGAUACUGUCGGGCUAGAGGAUGGUAGAGGCCAGUGGAAUUCCCAGUGUAGCGGUGAAAUGCGCAGAUAUUGGGAGGAACACCAGUAGCGAAGGCGGCUGGCUGGGCCAUUCCUGACGCUG